ensembl:lncRNA
UGAGCCUUCCCUGGCACAAAUAGACAUAAAUAAUCACUACUGGAUAGUCCCUGGGUCAAGCUGAGGGAACCACACACAUCAAGGGAACAGAGCUGUGCAUGUGAAAGUGUCACUAGUGCGCCAUGUGCUCACUGUCCUACCCAUACCCCCACCCUGCCCACCCAGUCCCAAAUCUGCCCUUAUGAAGAAGGCCACUGUUUGCAGACAUAUCAGCCCCUUUCGGGCCCUUUCACAGAGGUCCAGAGUUGAGGCAGCCUCCAGGUAAUGUGCAGAAAUAACCUUCAGUCCUCUGGGAAAGAAGACUUGCUCCUUUUGGCACCUGGAGGUAAACUCCGUGAAAGCUUGGGUUUGCUGAGUGUGUUUUAUGUGCUUGUACUAGGUCUGUCACAGAUUGCCCACAGCUGUUGCAAGACCACGUGCUUCACAGGCCACAGGUUCUUCCUGCUUUCUAACCACAUAUGCAAAGGCCAUCUGCUCCGUUUACCACAGCUCUUGCAGGUCUGCAGCUCCUGUACACACAACAAACGUGAGGAAGGGGCUGUCAUCUCUCACCACGCUCAGAAGU